ACAGCAGUAGCCGCGGGAAAACGGAGGGGGCUAGCGUUGUUCGGAAUUACUGGGCGUAAAGCGCACGUAGGCGGCUUGGUAAGUUAGAGGUGAAAGCCUGGAGUUCAACUCCAGAAUUGCCUUUAAGACUGCCGAGCUAGCAGGUGAGAGAGGUAAGUGGAAUUCCGAGUGUAGAGGUGAAAUUCGUAGAUAUUCGGAAGAACACCAGUGGCGAAGGCGGCUUACUGGCUCAUACUGGACGCUGAGGUGCGAAAGCGUGGGGAGCAAACAGGAUUAGAUACCCGCGUAGUCCCUGUCUCUUAUAA
rnacentral:rRNA from 1 species